CCUACGGGAGGCAGCAGUAGGGAAUAUUCCACAAUGGACGAAAGUCUGAUGGAGCAACGCCGCGUGAGUGAAGAAGGGUUUCGGCUCGUAAAGCUCUGUUGGUAGUGAAGAAAGAAAGAGGUAGUAACUGGCCAUUAUUUGACGGUAAUUACUUAGAAAGUCACGGCUAACUACGUGCCAGCAGCCGCGGUAAUACGUAGGUGGCAAGCGUUGUCCGGAUUUAUUGGGCGUAAAGCGAGUGCAGGCGGUUCAAUAAGUCUGAUGUGAAAGCCUUCGGAUCAACCGGGUAAUGGCAUCAGAAACGUGUGAACUUGAGUGCAGAAGAGGAGAGUGGAACUCCAUGUGUAGCGGUGGAAUGGGUAGAUAAAUGGAAGAACACCAGUGGCGAAGGCGGCCGCCUGGCCUUUUAACUGACGCUGAGGCACGAAAGCGUGGGUAGCAAAUAGGAUUAGAUACCCCAGUAGUC
rnacentral:rRNA from 1 species